UACGGGGGGGGGCAAGCGUUGUUCGGAAUUACUGGGCGUAAAGGGCUCGUAGGCGGCCAACUAAGUCAGACGUGAAAUCCCUCGGCUUAACCGGGGAACUGCAUCUGAUACUGGAUGGCUUGAGUUUGGGAGAGGGAUGCGGAAUUCCAGGUGUAGCGGUGAAAUGCGUAGAUAUCUGGAGGAACACCGGUGGCGAAGGCGGCAUCUUGGACCAACACUGACGCUGAGGAGCGAAAGCCAGGGGAGCAAAGCGGGAU
rnacentral:rRNA from 1 species